AUGAGUGUCUUCAAACUCCCGGCUUCUGUUUGUGAUGAUCUUACAAGGAUGAUACGUCAGUAUUGGUGGGGGGUAGAGAACGGCAAGAAGAAGAUGGCAUGGAUGAGCUGGGAUAGGCCGCGUCUGCCUAAACCCAUGGGGGGCAUGGGGUUUAGGGAUAUGAGGGCGUUUAACCAAGCGCUACUAGCUAAGCAAGCCUGGAGGCUCCUGGAUAGACCAGUUAGCCUAUGUGCGCGGUUGAUGAAGGCAAAAUACUAUCCUUCUGGUCAGCUUUUGGAUACGGUGUUCCCGGGCUCUGGUUCUGAGAGUCUCUGA
rnacentral:rRNA from 1 species